rnacentral:rRNA from 1 species
AUUGAACGCUGGCGGCAGGCCUAACACAUGCCAGUCGAACGGUAACAGGAAGCAGCUUGCUGCUUCGCUGACGAGUGGCGGACGGGUGAGUAAUGUCUGGGAAACUGCCUGAUGGAGGGGGAUAACUACUGGAAACGGUAGCUAAUACCGCAUAACGUCGCAAGACCAAAGAGGGGGACCUUAGGGCCUCUUGCCAUCGGAUGUGCCCAGAUGGGAUUAGCUAGUAGGUGGGGUAACGGCUCACCUGGGCGACGAUCCCUAGCUGGUCUGAGAGGAUGACCAGCCACACUGGAACUGAGACACGGUCCAGACUCCUACGGGAGGCAGCAGUGGGGAAUAUUGCACAAUGGGCGCAAGCCUGAUGCAGCCAUGCCGCGUGUAUGAAGAAGGCCUUCGGGUUGUAAAGUACUUUCAGCGGGGAGGAAGGGAGUAAAGUUAAUACCUUUGCUCAUUGACGUUACCCGCAGAAGAAGCGCCGGCUAACUCCGUG